rnacentral:rRNA from 1 species
CAGCCGCCGCGGUAAUACAGAGGAUGCAAGCGUUAUCCGGAAUGAUUGGGCGUAAAGCGUGCGCAGGCGGUUUUGUAAGACAGGCGUGAAAUCCCCGGGCUCAACCUGGGAAUGGCGCUUGUGACUGCAAAGCUAGAGUGCGGCAGAGGGGGAUGGAAUUCCGCGUGUAGCAGUGAAAUGCGUAGAUAUGCGGAGGAACACCGAUGGCGAAGGCAAUCCCCUGGGCCUGCACUGACGCUCAUGCACGAAAGCGUGGGGAGCAAACAGGAUUAGAUACCCCGGUAGUCCCUGUCUCUUAUAC